rnacentral:rRNA from 1 species
ACGUAGGGGGCAAGCGUUGUCCGGAUUUACUGGGCGUAAAGGGCGCGUAGGCGGCAAGCUAAGUCAGAUGUGAAAGUCCACGGCUUAACCGUGGAAUUGCAUUUGAAACUGGUUUGCUUGAGUGCAGGAGAGGAGAGCGGAAUUCCUAGUGUAGCGGUGAAAUGCGUAGAUAUCAGGAAGAACACCAGUGGCGAAGGCGGCUCUCUGGACUGUAACUGACGCUGAGGCGCGAAAGCGUGGGUAGCGAACAGGA